CAGGUGUCAAACUCAUUCCACGGGGGCCAAGUGUCUGCGGGUUUUCGCUCCUCCCUUGUACUUGAUUGAUGAAUUAACAUCACUAAUUAGUUAGGAACUCCCCACACCUGGUUGUCUAGGGCUUUAUUGAAAGGAAAAAACAAAAACCUGCAGACACUAGGCCCUCCGUGGAAUGAGUUUGACACCCCUGACUUAGAUCAUGUAUUUUCAGGUAGCGAUACAUCUUUGGGACGUCCCUAGUCCGUUGAAGUUGACAUUUAAAAUGGUUAAGUUAGGGGUUAAGGUUAGGGUUUAGGGUAGGGAUGUCUCAAGAAUUCCUAGAGAGUACCCUAGAGUUAACUUGUUGUCUGAAAAUAAAAUGUACAUUUUCCUCACCUGCGUCCAGUCAGCAGAUGGACUAGAUGCUGCUUAGGCCUCCCGUUGUGAAUCCGUCAAGAAUUCAGCAGAGCAAGUUUGUAUGAAGGUCUGUUUAUUAAAUGGGUACAUAGUUCAAUAGUAAUAUCCUCUAAAACGCUCUGGGGACCAACUUUGCUGCCCGGUUUCCAGUUGUCCACAUGGCUGGGAGAACCUAUUCAAGUAGCUAGCUAACAGCCAUGGAGGAGGGUGAAAGGAUAGCAGCCCCAACUGUCAGUGAGAGAGGAGACUAUUCUGGAUAGGGCAGGUACUUUUGUGUAGUUCCUGUCCCUAGAAGUGAGGACGGAGAUAAUAGUAACAUAAUAUUCAGUGUGGUGUAAUUUCACUAUAAUGAAGUGAGUUUCUUGUGAGGUUUUUUGUCCUCAGAUAAAGAGCGCUAUGAAAGCCAGUCUACAUAUGAAGAGGUCCCAAUGAAGAGCAGUGGUUCUCAGUCCUGGGGACUCAGAGGCACAUUGUUGUUGUUGCCUCAGCACUGCACAGCUGAUUCAAAUGAUCAACUCAUCAUCAAGCUUCAAGUGAUACCUUGUAACUGGAGAUUCCUUCCAAACGAUUGCCUACAGUUGCCGUGUAGGGCACUGCAAGGUUGGGUGACCAGGGUCAUCUGGGACUGCCUCCUGGAGGAGUUCAGAUGUGUGAAGGCUACCUGUGUCCUGCGUAACUUCAUGAGGAUGGACACGAGGACCAGGAGGGGAUCUGCAGCUCGCCGCCGUGUCCCAGAGGAGGAGUCUGCUGCUCUGCAGGAUGUUUCAAGGAUGGGGUCCAACAACGCAGCAAGAGAGGCAAUCCAUGUGCAGGAGAUCUUCACCUCCUCCUUCUUUUAAGAGGGUGCUGUUCCCUAGCAACACCAUAGACUACACUAUGCACAACCAAAGGCUCUUUUAAGAGGGUGCUGUUCCCUAGCAACACCAUAGACUACACUAUGCACAACCAAAGGCUCUUUUAAGAGGGUGCUGUUCCCUGGCAACACCAUAGACUACACUAUGCACAACCAAAGGCUCUUUUAAGAGGGUGCUGUUCCCUGGCAACACCAUAGACUACACUAUGCACAACUAAAGGCUCUUUUAAGAGCCAUUCACAUUGCAAUAAGAUUAUUCUUCCAUUUACUUAGCUAUGUCAACUGCAGUUAUUCAAUUCAUAGUUUCUCUCCCUUUGAUUUCUACUUCUCAGGUGAGGGUGCUGUUUAGGUAAGGGUGUGAUGUCUGUGCAAAAACAAAACAGGCUAUUUUAAAUCACCCAUAUUGAAAAAAUGUAGAACAAUUAGACACCCUAUAACCCCCACCUACACACUCAUGUAUCAAUCUGAUUGAUGGAUUGUGUUGUGCAGUAAGCAGGCUCAGGUGUAUAACUGUGGCUCCUUCCACCUUCAAAGAAUAGGCAACAGGGCCAACCAUGGAGAAUAAUAAGACACUUCAUUAUUUCUAUAACUACGCUAUAAUUGUUUGUCCUUGUGGGUCCAUUCAUGUUUUUCAGCAUAAAGUACUCUGCAGCCACUUAGUGUGGUGUGGACACCAGGUGAGGCCACACACAGAUUCCUGUUGAACACUGUGGCUUUAACUACCUUAUUUUCUCAAUAACAGUCUCUCUCCUUCACUUCAUCCCUCUCUCCCCUUCUCCCUAAAUCCUCUAGGUUAUAUCAGCUGUGUCGGUGAACCCCUCCUGCAUCUGAACUGGCUACAUAGAGGGCACAGCAUGGUCAGAGAUAUGUUUUGAUGUGAGAGGAUGCCAACCCCCAGUCUCAUCAUCGCCACCUCACCUUCUUUUAAGAUAACCUUUGGGCCGACUAGAGACACUGUUAUGUAAUUGUGAUGAACUGAGAGAAUAUUUAGGUAGCACUGUGUUUCAUUAAUCAUGUGCUGCCUUCCCUGCUCCAAUGUGCUUACCUCUUUCCCUUUCUGUCUUUUACACCUCUCUCUCCACCUCCUCUUUCUUCCUCUGUUUUUAUAAUACACAACAGAUGUGCAUUGAAGUACAGAUUGAACUUGUAUUUAUAACACUUGGAUAAUGAGCUUUUCAAUAAAGCGUUUCACAUUCUCUACUGGUUGAAAUGAAGUGUAAUGUGAUGAAAUACUCCACCUA